GGAAGCCGGGGAGGGGGCGGCCGCCCGAGCUGGGGCGAGGGGGUCCCUGCGUCCAGGGUCCGGCGCACUGGAUGCACGCGGGGGGGGGGUGCGUCCUCAGUGGGGCUCUGGAGCCCUGAAAGGUGGCACCACAGGACCGCGCCUCCCCUAGCCCGGCGUGCAGAUGGGGGAGCAGUCCCCCACCCCAGAGCUGGGCGGAGAAAGCGGGCCGGCGGGGGCCGGUCCCCGGCGCAGGGGAGAAGGGCCCGGGGCGAGGAGUCUCACCUCCGUGGGUCCCGGCUGGACACUCCACGCGGAGCUCCGGCGGAGCCCCCGGCUGGGCGCGGGGCUGGCGCCCGGCGCGGCGAGGACGCCUGGGCCUUUCCUGCUCCUCCACCCCCACCCAGUUUCCGGAUGCUUCCGGAGCGCUUGGGACCCCACAAACAGAAGCCUGGGGAGUCCACCUGGAGAAAUCCCCUUUAUAGCCAGAGUCUCUCGGAGGAAACUCAAAUUUCCCGUUUGUUCCUGCCGGGUGGAGGCGAAGGGGAAGGAGGAGCAGGGGGCAGUCCAAAACCUAGCCUGGAAGAGGAAUUGAAAGGUGAGAGGGGUGGGCAAGCCCUCCCGUGCCCAGGCCAGCAGGUGGACGUUGGCCAAGCCCUUCCCCCUCGGCCUCGCCUUCUGCAUGGGGGUGGGGGGUGGGGGUUGGACUGAUGACCACCCCAGCCCUCCUCCGCUGGAAGAAGGAUGCGGCCCAUAACUCAGGGGAUUUCUCCUUCCACGCUGGGGCUCAGACACCGCCCCCCGCCACACCGGAUGCCCAGCGUCAGGGUAUUUGGGUGCCACUGAAAGCCGACCCUGCUUUGCAUCCGGUGUCCAGCCUGGCUGGGGAAUUACAGAGAAAACCGUCUCGAUGUGUUCGUUGCGCAUGGGGAUCGUUACCAUGAGCUAAGCAGUUGUGUUUUGUUCUGAUUUUCAAUGACAGGUCGCACCCAGCAGUCGAGAGCAACACCUGGAAUGGAGCAGCUAUGCAAAUUCUAGCCCGGCACCCGCGGGACCCGAACAUCUCCACAGUCACUGCCCGCGUCUGGCGGUCGGUCGCGGUCGCAGUUUGGUCCUCAAAAGAGCCCAGGACUCGCGGGCCCUGCGCUGGUGCCCUCUGCCUGCGCCCUGCCCCAGCUCUGAGGCGGGAACAGCUCUGCACUCACCGCCCUGCGAACUUCGCCGGCCGAGCGCCAGGCACUUUCGCUCUCUCCCCAAACCCCACCCUGUGACAGUUGGGCAAGUAAGGCUCGACCUACAGCUAGAAAGCAGCAGGGUGACGAACGCAUUUCCUCCUCUGAUGCCACCGCCCCCAAGCUCCGUUGUUGCAAACCCAACCCUAGGGCUGGGCAUUUAGCUCAGUGAUGCUGCGCAAGGUCCUGAGUUCAAUCUCCACAACUGGGGGCGCGGGGGGGGGGCACCCCAGCCAUGAGGGCUCAGGUAAAAGUAGGAUUUGCUAGAAGUAAAAAAAUUGCUGAAGACGAACUCUUCUCCUUUAAGGCCAUCCCCCUCAAAGCUCCCUUUUGUGGACAAUGAUGAUGCUUCUGGAUUUUAAAAAAUACGCUCAGGGGCUGGGGUUUUAGCACAGUGGUCCUGCUGCCUGCCUUGUAAGAGCAAGGUCCCGAGUUCCAGCCAAAUAAAUAAAUAAAUAAAUAAAUAAAUAAAUAAAAUACAAUCGAAAUUAAAUCUCUCCUCCUUAAAAAGAAAAAAAAAAGAAAUACAAUCAAAAGGCGAAAGAAAUGUCAAUGGAACUAAAAAUGAAUGUUGAACUUGAGACAGCACAGCAGGCCCCAUCCCCCGGCCCUCACCCACACCCCGGACUCCAGGGACCCAGCUGCAGGGGCCUAGGGCCUGUGCCUAGAAGCUGACAGCCACAGGCCUCCGUCUACCAUUUAGCUCCGCCCACCCCCAGGAGCGGCCAGAGGGAUUGCCCAAGUGACAGAAGUGACAGGAACAGGAACAGGGAGGAAUACAAGAUCCCCUCUGAUAACGGAAAGCAUCCCUGGGCAUCCGUGACCUCACCCCGCCCUUUUUCAAGGAGGUUCUCCAAGGCCGAACGCCCCACUCUGUUUGCUUGUGAUUGUUUUCCUUGAUAACUUGUGAGCUCCAGUAGGAUGUUUAUCCGCGUUAUCACAGU
rnacentral:lncRNA from 1 species